AGGAUGCCUAGUUAUAUUCAAAUUUCAGAAAACAACAGACACAUUUUAGUAUAAGUAUAGCCUAUGUAAUGUUUGGGAUAUAUUUAUGCUAAAAAUACUUUUGUUUUUCUGAAAUUCAAAUUUAACUGGAUGCCU
rnacentral:miRNA from 1 species